rnacentral:rRNA from 1 species
GACGAACGCUGGCGGCGUGCUUAACACAUGCAAGUCGAACGGAAAGGCCCUGCUUUUGUGGGGUGCUCGAGUGGCGAACGGGUGAGUAACACGUGAGUAACCUGCCCUUGACUUUGGGAUAACUUCAGGAAACUGGGGCUAAUACCGGAUAGGAGCUCCUGCUGCAUGGUGGGGGUUGGAAAGUUUCGGCGGUUGGGGAUGGACUCGCGGCUUAUCAGCUUGUUGGUGGGGUAGUGGCUUACCAAGGCUUUGACGGGUAGCCGGCCUGAGAGGGUGACCGGCCACAUUGGGACUGAGAUACGGCCCAGACUCCUACGGGAGGCAGCAGUGGGAAAUAUUGCACAAUGGCCGGAAGCCAGAUGCAGCAACGCCGCGUGCGGGAUGACGGCCUUCGGGUUGUAAACCGCUUUCGCCUGUGACGAAGAGUGAGUGACGGUAAUGGGUAAAAAAGCACCGGCUAACUACGUG